CCCCCCCCCCCCCCCGCUGAUACGAUUCAUGAGAGUAAAGAGUAACAAGAUGAGAGAAGAGGGGUUCGGAUCUGGACGGCAUGGUCGGGGCGCGAGCCGAUUCGAUCGAGGUCGCGGGCGUGGCUUUGACACCAACAUGUGGAAGUGCAAGAUGGAGGCGGGGAACUCCUCGACGACGAGCGCCUCCAGAUCCGGUGACGCUGGUGCUGGAAAGUGGGAUGAGGUGGCUGGGGGGAAGCAAGUCGCCCCUUAGCACCAGGAGCAAUGGGGGGCAGACGAUGGGAGCACCAUCGAGCGGGUGACGCUGGUGCUGGAAAGUGGGAUGAGGCGGCUGGGGGGAAGCAAGUCGCCCCUUAGCACCAGGAGCAAUGGGGGGCAGACGAUGGGAGCACCAUCGAGCGGGUGACGCUGGUGCUGGAAAGUGGGAUGAGGCGGCUGGGGGGAAGCAAGUCGCCCCUUAGCACCAGGAGCAAUGGGGGGCAGACGAUGGGAGCACCAUCGAGCGGGUGACGCUGGUGCUGGAAAGUGGGAUGAGGCGGCUGGGGGGAAGCAAGUCGCCCCUUAGCACCAGGAGCAAUGGGGGGCAGACGAUGGGAGCACCAUCGAGCGGGUGACGCUGGUGCUGGAAAGUGGGAUGAGGCGGCUGGGGGGAAGCAAGUCGCCCCUUAGCACCAGGAGCAAUGGGGGGCAGACGAUGGGAGCACCAUCGAGCGGGCACAGCCGUAGCAAACCCCACACCUUCUAGGAAGCGUGAUCCUCCCAUGCACCCUGGUAACAUCAAUCUUCCUCCCGAGCUCUACCAGAUCCAACUGCUAGAUGUCCACUAGUGUUCUGUGAGAGAUGCAAGAAACGAGGACAUCUUUUUGUGAUAUGUGUUGAAUUUUUACCAUGGGAAUACACUCCUGUUAUGUGUGCUUUCCAAGAGAAAGGGCAGGGGUUCUUCUAUAUUCCUGAUCACAGUGUGGACACACAGACUAGGGAGAGAAAUCACAAUGUGAUAGUCACCAUCAUAGAGGGCUGUGCUCCCACUAAAGACAUCGUGUAUGUGGGGCAGGGUGUCGUUGCUCUGCUAGAUUCUUCGUUGCUCAUAAGUUUGUGAUGAGAAUGCCCAAUCCCAGGGAGGUUGAGCGGGCUUUGUUUGUUGAACAUGUUAAGCUUAAGAAAUGUGGGGUGUCUGUCCAAUUUUCUCCUUGGUCUGAAGACGUUGAUUUGGAAGGCCUUCUGGAAAUAGUCUGGGUUAGAAUUGGGAGGAUCCCUUCAAACAAAAGAUGUGAUAAAACUGUGGCGUAUGUGGGAGGUUUGGUGGGGAUAACUUUAGAGGUAGAUAUGUCCACCAUAAACCGUGCUUCAUUAGUUUGGGCUAGAAUUGGGUGUUGUUCUGUUGACCAGCUGCCUGCCACGGCUGAAGGUGUAUUAGGGGGACGCUUUUACAAGUUUACUUAUGAAGUGGAGGAGGUUCUUGUGACAAAUCCUGUUGAGAACAAUGGUGUGACUGUCGCAAACACGGAGGGGGGAGGGGGGGGGGCUGCUAAACAUGAUUAGACUCCUAAGCGUAAAAGAGUUGAUCAGGAAGGGGGGGUCAAGCUGAAUCCUCUGAUGCCGCGAGGGGCGACAAUGAUGUCCCUGGUGGCAAGACAUGUCGUCUGUCACCACAAGAGAAAGAGAAAGAGAUGCCAGUAUCCUCUGAAAGUGAGGUUGACUCGUCGCUCCUAAUCGAAUCCAUGGCUGAAUAUCCUGAGGUGGAAAUACAGAAUGCCUUGGACUGAAUCGUGACGACCCCUGGUUCGAUGGGUGCUCUUACGGCACCUGUUGUGAUACCCAAGGAGGUGCAGGUAAAAAAGAAUCCUGUUGUACGUCGUCGUUCCUUGUCUUAUGCUACUGCUGUAGUUUCUAACUAUGAGCGGGUUGUGGAGGUGGAGGGCGACGUGGAUCUGGGCUUGAAGACCUCCCAUGAUUAUAUGGUACAUCUACCCUCACCUAAUUACAGUGAUGAGAUUAUUCUUACUCCUCCACUUGCACUCGAGGCGGUGAUCAGAUUCAGCAAGCGUAAUGUUCAAGAAUUCUAGGAGAACAUUGAUAUCAAGGCCAUGCAUCGCGCACAACAGAAAGAUCUAGAAGGCAAGUUUACAACGAUGGGAUGAUGCCGAGGAGCUACGCAUGGGAGCUGAGUUGAUCAGGUCGAGUACAAUGCAGCUGAUGAAGAUAUGCAAUGUGGUGAGAUGUCCGAUCGCAGGCGAAUAAAUAUGGUGCUCCUACUUCGUCUCUGCCUAGUGGUGAAUGGUGUUCCGUUGUGCGUCCUGUUGGCGUUGAUUUUGGUGUGUGCCCAUGUUGGUUUCUUGGGGUGUAAUGGAAUGUAUCCUUAGUAGACUUUAUGUUGGUGCUGUCUAGGUUUUCGCCCCAUGGCAUUCGUCUCGAGGUCAGGCGAAUGCAGUAGGUUUCCUAGCAGUGCUCGAACUCACUCUACCUCUUUUCCCUCCCUAAAUGUUUUUGGAACUGUUGUAUUUCCGUUCAUUUGCAAUGAAAAGGGGUUCAUCCCGGUUCGAAAAAAGAUUA